AUCCAAUAAUAUUAAUUAUAGAGGAAAUACAACGUAUUCUUAAACUACGAACUUUCUUUGUUUAAUUCAUCUUUUUAAUUUAUUGAGAUAUUUGAAUUUCCCGCCACAUGCGCUAAUUUUACUGAUUCAGCACAAAAUAAGAUUACCAAUACACCAUAGAUAAUUUAAAUUGUGAAUUUUAUUCGAAAGUAAAAUAUAAACGUUGUUUGUUCUUUUUAACAGUGAUGGAUAUGUUUAUAUGUAACAAGUGUUUUGCCACACCACAUAGAGGAAAAAAACCAUUUUGCUUGACUCAAUGUGGUCACAUAUAUUGUAAUGGAUGCAUACAACAAGGCAAUAAUAAACAACAUAAAAUGAUAAAUAUUACUCAUGCUAUAAGUAUAUGCUCAUAUUGUAUAUAAGAAUAAAUCUAUUUUCUCUUUCAUAAUUUAGCUGAAAAACAGUGUCCUCAAUGUCAGCAGAUUGAUAUUUUUUCUGUCGAGUUACAACAACCAUCAUUGUCGAAAGUAGAGAAUUUCUUUGCUCCAUUGAAUGAAUCAUUGGAAUCAUUACACAAAAUAUGUGGUUUUCAGAAUAAUCAAAUGAAAAUUAUGAUACAACGCUUUCAUGAAAUCGUGUGUUCCUUACUUUCUUUUCCUUUUUUUUCCUAACUUUUGUAUGUUGAAUUGAAAGAAACAUAUGUUUUUAAUCAAAUUCUCAAGGACAAAAAAUACGAAACAUUGAAGUCCCACUACUAUAGCCUAACUCAAAACAUGAAAAUGAUGAGAGAUAAAUAUAUUAAACUGAAAAUGGAAAAUACUGAACAGAAAAAGAAAUUAAUGUCUUUUGAGAUGCAAAAUAGAACUUUAAACUCUUUAAGUGAUGUAUCUACACCAAUAAAAUCUGGCAACAACAGAAGUUCAAAAAUGAGACCUGCAUCAAAUUCAUAUUUUUCGUGUGGAGCAAAUAUGUCGAGUCAAUCAUUUGACGUGAGAAAGGGAAACGCAAUGUUCGAAGGUUUUCGUAUUCCUUAUCCUCAUAUAGUACGAUCAGUUGGUUCUCGUGGAACUUCAGAUACCAAUUCUACUUACCUUUAGAUUUUGAACAGAAUUAGAACAAUAUUUUAAUUUAUCUAUACAUAAUAAAAAAUGAAUUAAAUUUUACAAAAUAUAAAAAAUUAAAAACAUAUGGAAGAAAUAUUUAUGAAAAAGCAAUAAUGGUUUUUUCUGCAUACAGUUACUAAAAAUUAAAGAAUUAUGAAGGAAUUGC